AGAGUUUGAUCCUGGCUCAGGACGAACGCUGACGGUGUGCUUUAGACAUGCAAGUCGAACGAGAAAGCCCUUCGGGGUGAGUACAGUGGCGAACGGGUGAGUAACACGUGGGUAACCUGCCCCUCGCAGAGGGACAACCGGGGGAAACCCCGGCUAAUACCUCGUACGCUUGCCGGGCCGCAUGGCUCGGCAAGGAGAGGUAGCUUCGGCCAUCCGGCGAGGGAUGGGCCCGCGGUCCAUUAGCUAGUUGGUGAGGUAACGGCCCACCAAGGCGACGAUGGAUAGCUGGUCUGAGAGGACGAUCAGCCACACUGGGACUGAGACACGGCCCAGACUCCUACGGGAGGCAGCAGUCGGGAAUCUUGCGCAAUGGGCGAAAGCCUGACGCAGCAACACCGUGUGGGCGACGAAGGCCUUCGGGUCGUAAAGCCCUGUUGUUGGGGACGAAGGGCGAAGGGUUAAUAGCCCCUAGCCUGACGGUACCCUUCGAGGAAGCCCCGGCUAACUACGUGCCAGCAGCCGCGGUAAUACGUAGGGGGCGAGCGUUGUCCGGAAUUAUUGGGCGUAAAGAGCGUGUAGGCGGUUCGGUAAGUCUGCCGUGAAACCCUAGGGCUCAACCCUAGGCGUGCGGUGGAUACUGCCGGGCUAGAGGGUGGUAGAGGCGAGUGGAAUUCCCGGUGUAGCGGUGAAAUGCGCAGAUAUCGGGAGGAACACCAGUAGCGAAGGCGGCUCGCUGGGCCAUUCCUGACGCUGAGACGCGAAAGCAUGGGGAGCGAACAGGAUUAGAUACCCUAGUAGUCC
rnacentral:rRNA from 1 species